rnacentral:rRNA from 1 species
AGGAUUGCCUUAGUAACGGCGAGUGAAGCGGCAAAAGCUCAAAUUUGAAAUCUGGCACCUUCGGUGUCCGAGUUGUAAUUUGAAGAAGGUAACUUUGGAGUUGGCUCUUGUCUAUGUUCCUUGGAACAGGACGUCACAGAGGGUGAGAAUCCCGUGCGAUGAGAUGCCCAAUUCUAUGUAAAGUGCUUUCGAAGAGUCGAGUUGUUUGGGAAUGCAGCUCUAAGUGGGUGGUAAAUUCCAUCUAAAGCUAAAUAUUGGCGAGAGACCGAUAGCGAACAAGUACAGUGAUGGAAAGAUGAAAAGAACUUUGAAAAGAGAGUGAAAAAGUACGUGAAAUUGUUGAAAGGGAAGGGCUUGAGAUCAGACUUGGUAUUUUGCGAUCCUUUCCUUCUUGGUUGGGUUCCUCGCAGCUUACUGGGCCAGCAUCGGUUUGGAUGGUAGGAUAAUGACUAAGGAAUGUGGCUCUACUUCGGUGGAGUGUUAUAGCCUUGGUUGAUACUGCCUGUCUAGACCGAGGACUGCGUCUUUUGACUAGGAUGUUGGCAUAAUGAUCUUAAGCCACCCGUCUUGAAACACGGACCAAGGAGUCUAACGUCUAUGCGAGUGUUUGGGUGUAAAACCCGUACGCGUAAUGAAAGUGAACGUAGGUGAGAGCUCUUAAGAGUGCAUCAUCGACCGAUCCUGAUGUCUUCGGAUGGAUUUGAGUAAGAGCAUAGCUGUUGGGACCCGAAAGAUGGUGAACUAUGCCUGAAUAGGGUGAAGCCAGAGGAAACUCUGGUGGAGGCUCGUAGCGGUUCUGACGUGCAAAUCGAUCGUCGAAUUUGGGUAUAGGGCGAAAGACUAAUCGA